rnacentral:rRNA from 1 species
UACGUAGGGCGCGAGCGUUGUCCGGAAUCAUUGGGCGUAAAGAGCUCGUAGGCGGCCGGUUGCGUCUGCUGUGAAAUCCCGGGGGCGUUAACCCCGGGCGGUGCAGUGGAUACGGGCUGGCUGGAGGCAGGGCAGGGGAGGCUGGAAUUCCUGGUGUAGCGGUGGAAUGCGCAGAUAUCAGGAGGACACCGGUGGCGAAGGCGGGUCGUCUGGGCAGUAACUGACGCUGAGGAGCGAAAGCGUGGGGAGCGA